UACGGAGACUGCAAGCGUUAUUCGGAUUCACUGGGCGUAAAGGGUGCGCAGGCGGCCAAGUGUGUGAGGCGUGAAAGCCUGGAGCUUAACUCCAGAAUUGCACCUCAAACUACAUGGCUAGAGCAUUGGAGAGGCGAGUGGAAUUCCCGGUGUAGCGGUGAAAUGCGCAGAUAUCGGGAGGAACACCUAUGGCGAAGGCAGCUCGCUGGGACGUUACUGACGCUGAGACGCGAAAGCGUGGGGAGCAAACAGG
rnacentral:rRNA from 1 species